rnacentral:rRNA from 1 species
GGUUAAGCGACUAAGCGUACACGGUGGAUGCCCUGGCAGUCAGAGGCGAUGAAGGACGUGCUAAUCUGCGAUAAGCGUCGGUAAGGUGAUAUGAACCGUUAUAACCGGCGAUUUCCGAAUGGGGAAACCCAGUGUGAUUCGUCACACUAUCAUUAACUGAAUCCAUAGGUUAAUGAGGCGAACCGGGGGAACUGAAACAUCUAAGUACCCCGAGGAAAAGAAAUCAACCGAGAUUCCCCCAGUAGCGGCGAGCGAACGGGGAGGAGCCCAGAGCCUGAAUCAGUGUGUGUGUUAGUGGAAGCGUCUGGAAAGGCGCGCGAUACAGGGUGACAGCCCCGUACACAAAAAUGCACAUGCUGUGAGCUCGAUGAGUAGGGCGGGACACGUGGUAUCCUGUCUGAAUAUGGGGGGACCAUCCUCCAAGGCUAAAUACUCCUGACUGACCGAUAGUGAACCAGUACCGUGAGGGAAAGGCGAAAAGAACCCCGGCGAGGGGAGUGAAAAAGAACCUGAAACCGUGUACGUACAAGCAGUGGGAGCACAGAGCAAUCUGUGUGACUGCGUACCUUUUGUAUAAUGGGUCAGCGACUUAUAUUCUGUAGCAAGGUUAACCGAAUAGGGGAGCCGAAGGGAAACCGAGUCUUAACUGGGCGUUAAGUUGCAGGGUAUAGACCCGAAACCCGGUGAUCUAGCCAUGGGCAGGUUGAAGGUUGGGUAACACUAACUGGAGGACCGAACCGACUAAUGUUGAAAAAUUAGCGGAUGACUUGUGGCUGGGGGUGAAAGGCCAAUCAAACCGGGAGAUAGCUGGUUCUCCCCGAAAGCUAUUUAGGUAGCGCCUCGUGAAUUCAUCUCCGGGGGUAGAGCACUGUUUCGGCAAGGGGGUCAUCCCGACUUACCAACCCGAUGCAAACUGCGAAUACCGGAGAAUGUUAUCACGGGAGACACACGGCGGGUGCUAACGUCCGUCGUGAAGAGGGAAACAACCCAGACCGCCAGCUAAGGUCCCAAAGUCAUGGUUAAGUGGGAAACGAUGUGGGAAGGCCCAGACAGCCAGGAUGUUGGCUUAGAAGCAGCCAUCAUUUAAAGAAAGCGUAAUAGCUCACUGGUCGAGUCGGCCUGCGCGGAAGAUGUAACGGGGCUAAACCAUGCACCGAAGCUGCGGCAGCGACACUGUGUGUUGUUGGGUAGGGGAGCGUUCUGUAAGCCUGUGAAGUGUGCUGUGAGGCAUGCUGGAGGUAUCAGAAGUGCGAAUGCUGACAUAAGUAACGAUAAAGCGGGUGAAAAGCCCGCUCGCCGGAAGACCAAGGGUUCCUGUCCAACGUUAAUCGGGGCAGGGUGAGUCGACCCCUAAGGCGAGGCCGAAAGGCGUAGUCGAUGGGAAACAGGUUAAUAUUCCUGUACUUGGUGUUACUGCGAAGGGGGGACGGAGAAGGCUAUGUUGGCCGGGCGACGGUUGUCCCGGUUUAAGCGUGUAGGCUGGUUUUCCAGGCAAAUCCGGAAAAUCAAGGCUGAGGCGUGAUGACGAGGCACUACGGUGCUGAAGCAACAAAUGCCCUGCUUCCAGGAAAAGCCUCUAAGCAUCAGGUAACAUCAAAUCGUACCCCAAACCGACACAGGUGGUCAGGUAGAGAAUACCAAGGCGCUUGAGAGAACUCGGGUGAAGGAACUAGGCAAAAUGGUGCCGUAACUUCGGGAGAAGGCACGCUGAUAUGUAGGUGAAGUCCCUCGCGGAUGGAGCUGAAAUCAGUCGAAGAUACCAGCUGGCUGCAACUGUUUAUUAAAAACACAGCACUGUGCAAACACGAAAGUGGACGUAUACGGUGUGACGCCUGCCCGGUGCCGGAAGGUUAAUUGAUGGGGUCAGCGCAAGCGAAGCUCUUGAUCGAAGCCCCGGUAAACGGCGGCCGUAACUAUAACGGUCCUAAGGUAGCGAAAUUCCUUGUCGGGUAAGUUCCGACCUGCACGAAUGGCGUAAUGAUGGCCAGGCUGUCUCCACCCGAGACUCAGUGAAAUUGAACUCGCUGUGAAGAUGCAGUGUACCCGCGGCAAGACGGAAAGACCCCGUGAACCUUUACUAUAGCUUGACACUGAACAUUGAGCCUUGAUGUGUAGGAUAGGUGGGAGGCUUUGAAGUGUGGACGCCAGUCUGCAUGGAGCCGACCUUGAAAUACCACCCUUUAAUGUUUGAUGUUCUAACGUGGACCCGUGAUCCGGGUUGCGGACAGUGUCUGGUGGGUAGUUUGACUGGGGCGGUCUCCUCCUAAAGAGUAACGGAGGAGCACGAAGGUUGGCUAAUCCUGGUCGGACAUCAGGAGGUUAGUGCAAUGGCAUAAGCCAGCUUGACUGCGAGCGUGACGGCGCGAGCAGGUGCGAAAGCAGGUCAUAGUGAUCCGGUGGUUCUGAAUGGAAGGGCCAUCGCUCAACGGAUAAAAGGUACUCCGGGGAUAACAGGCUGAUACCGCCCAAGAGUUCAUAUCGACGGCGGUGUUUGGCACCUCGAUGUCGGCUCAUCACAUCCUGGGGCUGAAGUAGGUCCCAAGGGUAUGGCUGUUCGCCAUUUAAAGUGGUACGCGAGCUGGGUUUAGAACGUCGUGAGACAGUUCGGUCCCUAUCUGCCGUGGGCGCUGGAGAACUGAGGGGGGCUGCUCCUAGUACGAGAGGACCGGAGUGGACGCAUCACUGGUGUUCGGGUUGUCAUGCCAAUGGCACUGCCCGGUAGCUAAAUGCGGAAGAGAUAAGUGCUGAAAGCAUCUAAGCACGAAACUUGCCCCGAGAUGAGUUCUCCCUGACCCUUUAAGGGUCCUGAAGGAACGUUGAAGACGACGACGUUGAUAGGCCGGGUGUGUAAGCGCAGCGAUGCGUUGAGCUAACCGGUACUAAUGAACCGUGAGGCUUAACCUU